UGGAGACUUAGCAUUGGUACUGUAAGAAAAAGCCAGCCUAAAGCAUUCUCCUAAGUGACAAGAAAAAAAUAAUGUCAUGGACAACAAGAAAAAAACACAUUUUUGCCUUAGGGCCUGAACUAGUCUAGGCCAUUUAGCCUGCCUGAUAGGUCAGACUGCCAAAUAAGAGAAGCAAGAGUUGGGAGAGAUAUCUCUGCUUCCUCCCUUUUUAGGGGAUGGUAAUCUCACCAACUUGUAAAGCAUGCCCUACCCCAAAACACCAGACCGAACAACUGUCUUGGUUUGGUCCAGUGCUCUCACCAAGGUCCUCAAGAGGUGAUCACAGGAAGUUAGUGGGAAAAGAAAGGGGAGUGAAGUAGAGAUGGGGGAAAGCAUGCGCAAGGCUGUCUAAUUGAGCUGAUUUUCACUGCGCAUAGCAGCGGGUUACUACUGCUGGGGGCCUGCAAGGAACAGUGGAGAAUGUGAUUCAAAAUUGCUCCUCCAAAUGACAAGUGAGGUCUGAGUCUGGCAGAAUUGUGGCACAGGGACCUAUUUCAUUUGCUAUGACUCCCACCAAUCAGGUGAGCAAUUCUUCUCCCUUUGGUGAGCAUAUGGGGGUGAGAGUGGCAUCCAAUGUCAUUCACCAUUUAUCAAGGCAAGGAAAGAAGCCCUGGUUUUACUGUACAGUGCCUAAAAAAUAAAGCAUCUAGAAAAGCUAAAUAUUAUAUCGGCCUAAUGUGCACUCUAUGAGUAGAGGCUUGUCUGCUUUUCAUUUUGAGGUCUUCUGAGACUUCCUAACAUGGCCAAGAAAACUCUUGGAUAUACUUUGGUGUUUGGGUUGUACCAAGCUUAUAGUCCCGCUUGAAAAUAAUGGUAUAUUAGUUAUCUAUUGCUGCAUAACCAAUUACCCCUAAGGUUGGAGGCCUAAUACAACAAAGAUUCAUGAUCUCAAAGUUUCUGAGUCAGGAAUUCAAGAGCAGCUUAGCUGGUGGCUAUGGCCUAGGGUCUCUCAUGAGGUUGCAGUUAAGACUUGACAACGUUGCAGUUUGCCUGAAGGGCUUAACUGGGGUUAGGGGAUCUGUUUGCAAGAUGGCUCACUCACAUGGCCAUUGGCAAGAAGCCUCGGUUCCUCACUGACAACUAGCAGGAGGCCUCAGCUGCUCUGCAUGUAGCACCCUCCAUGGGAUGGUUUUGCGUCCUCAUGAUACAGCAGAUGUCCUCCCUCAGAGCAAGUGAUCUAGGAGAGACAGCAAGAUGGAAGAUGCAGUAUCUUCCAGGAUCAAUUGUUGUAAAUCAUACUUCAUCACUUUUGCCAUAUAAUAUUUUUUAGAGGUAAGUCACUAAAAAUAGUCCACACUUGAAAGGAAUUAAGCUCCAUUUUUUAAAGGAAAGUAUAUUAAAUAAUUUGUGAGCAUAUUUUAUUUAAAGCUACUCACCACAAGUGGGAUGGCCACUGGAGUCUGGAGAGUUUCAAACUGUAACUCCUUGAAUUCAGCUGGAGUCAGUAUAGCAUAGCAGAGCAGGGUGAGAUUCAGGUUCCAAUGGACUCAAGGGUGCGACCUGGCCAAGACGAGCUCCUGGGAGUGCCACCUGUGCCAUCUCGCAAACCCCACACUCAGAACGACUUCAUCUUUGGUUUAAUACUCUGUUGCCAUCUUGAAAUUAAAAUUCUUGGUAAUUCUUAGUAAUUUUGUCUUUGUAUCUGUGUUUUGUAAGUGAAGUCCAACGAUACCAUGGAGCAUGUGCAGGAGCAGAGGAGAUAGCAACAAUAAAAGCGUUUACUGCCAUUUCUUGCUGUCCUAUUUGCAUAUAGUGUUCAUAAAAUCCCAUGAGCACGGGAUUCCGAUGAGUCUACAUUGCAUGGGAGCUCAGAAGGGACUCAAAGCAAGCACACGAAAGCAUUUCCAUUUUGCCUGGCUCUGGGAACAAAGCCAAUGUCUGCUUUAGAGGAACAGAGAUUUCCACACAGCGAAUGAGAAAAAGGACACAGACCCAGGAUUCAGAAAGGAAAUGAGGACAGAGACUAACACUGUCUAAAUACAUAAAGGCAGAAGACAUUUUCUCAGGGAAUUUGUCUCAUAUGCGACCUGGAUAUUUUGCCCAUAAUUCCAGGAUGUCUGCCUGGCUGGAGAGAUGUUUGGAGCUCAUCUGCCCCAAAGGGAGGGAAGAGUUAUGUGGCACUGCACUAACGAGCUGACAUGGAACCUUAUGUACACAGGAAUAACUUAAGGAAAGCAUUUCCCCUUUACUUGAGAGUUAUCCUCUGCGCGAUCCUACAAAAAUCUUCAGAGAGGAAGUCUCUGGAAUGUAGCUGUCCUGUGCAUUGAUAGAGCAUUGCUUUAUUUAGUGGGUUCUCCGACAUUUAUCUAGGCAUGUGUUCACAGCACUUUAAAGUGUCAUGUAACAGGCUCAAGAUUUAGUUUCUUAGAGCCAGAAGCAUGGGCAGAAGCCCACUGUGGGGUGUGAAUGGAUGAGUUUCAGGCUGAUAAUACUCACAUCCCUGCUCGUCAAAGCUCUGAACUAAUUGAUACCUAGACCCAGGAAUUCACUAGAGAUCAUCAGCUUAAUUGCUUGGGAAACUGAACUGGAGAGCACAUUAAAAUCUGAAGCCAAAGUAGGUGGCAACCUUAUAUUUCCUCUUAAGUUGAAACGUUGGGACCCAAGGCUGAAUUGCAUUUGCAGAGCUGAUGCUUACUCAGACACGAGGAAAACUGUGCCUUCUCCUUGUCCAGGGACGGAGAGGCUCUUGGGGCUGGGGGCAGGGUGGAGAGUGAGGCCCCAUGUAUUCUGACUUUUAACUUCGCUCACUGCAGUCAAGCAGGAACAUGGAUGAGUGGAUGAUGAUUCUUCUAUGUCUCAUCAAUCAAAUAAAUCUCCCCCUCCCGUGUGGAGAUGUCAACUGGGGUGGAAGGAAGGUCAGAGUUCUCAAGAAUGAUCCUGUCAGGGUAGAAGUUGCUUUCUUUGGAAACAUGAUACAGACCAGGGGUAAGAGAGAGCACGGAUGCUGAAUGCUGGACACUAGCUGCCUGGGUUUCAAUUCUCCUUGGGUCAUUGACUGGAUCACUUUAGAAAGGUUCUUAUAACCUCUCUAAGCCUCAGUUUCUUCAAAGUAGAAAAGGGCCAGGUGCAGAGGCUCACACCUAUAAUCCCAGCACUUUGGGAGGCUUAGGCGGGAGGAUGGCUUGAGUGCAGGAGUUUGAGACCAGCCUGGGCAACAAAAUGAGACCUCGUCUCUAAAAAAAAAAAAAAAAAAAAAAAAAAAAAAAAAAAAAAAAAAUUUUAAGUCAGCUGGGCAUAGUGGCACAUGCCUGUAGUCUCAGCAACUCACGAGGCUGAAAUGGGAGGAUGGCCUGAGCCCAGAAGCUCAGGCUGCAGUGAGCUAUGAUUGCACCACUGCACUCCAGCAUGGGCAAUAGAGGAAGACUCUGGCUCAAAAAGUAAAAAUUUAAAAAACAACCCGGGGAUAGAUCCUUUUCCGUUCCACUGAAGCUUGCAGAGAAAAGCGGGCUGUGAGAAGCAAGGCCCCGGAGGGGAGGCAGACAGACCCUGAGCCGUGCAAAUUUGUGCAAAUGCCUGGAUUUGCCCCGAAGGCAGAGAGGGUGGGGAGCUUCAGAGACCAACAGGGGGAAAUUUGUACAUAGAGACAUGCAGAGAGAGGAGCUGAUGUGAAGGCAUGGAGAGAUUUUCAUCUACAAGCCAAGGAAUGCCUGAGCUACCAGAAGCCAAGAGAGAGGCAAGGAACAGAGUCUGCCUCACAGCCCUUAAAAGCAAACAACCCUGCUGACAUCUUACGUUUGAACUUCCAGCUUCCAGAACUGUGAGACAAUAAACUUCUGUUGUUUAAGCAACUCAGUUUGUGGUACCUUGUUAUGGCAGGCCUAGCAAAUUAAUACACCUUCUUACUAAAAACAACCAUAAAACUGCCAAAAUAUAUGAGGAAACUGUCUUUAGGUAUUUGGACAACAUGCGGUACGGGGCUGUGAUUCUUGAGAG
rnacentral:lncRNA from 1 species